GCUUACGGCCACACCGGCCUGAGUACGCCUGAUCUCGUCCGAUCUCUGAAGCUAAGCAGGGUCGGGCCUGGUUAGUACUUGGAUGGGAGACCGCCUGGGAAUACCAGGUGCUGUAAGCU
ensembl:rRNA 5S_rRNA 5S ribosomal RNA